UUAGUUGAUAUAUGUUAUGUGCAACUAUGAUUUGUGCUAGUUGAUAAAUUGCUAUUAAAGGAAUCUCUGGAAUCGCUUUGAUAAUGUUUUGUCGUUCGAUCGGCUCCUCAUCCUUGUUAUGACGGUUGUUUUUCUUCUUUUUCCUUUUCUUUUGUUUCGUCCGGCCUAUCCAUAGUGUCCUGCGACGAUCCCGUUCGGAUACAUGGAAGUAGUUUAAUAUUCGUAUGUGAAAGGAAGGCAGGGAGAGAGAGAAGGAGGGAGAAAAGAAGGAAGAGAGAGAGAAGAGAAAGAGACAUGCAAAAAAGAGGAUAUUCAUUUAAUUUUCCUUUUUUUUUUUUUUUUUUUUUUUUUUUUUUUAAUUUCUUUCUUUUUUUUUUCUUUUCUCUCUCUUUAAUCUUCUCUCCUCUCUCUUUUCUCUCCAUCGUUCUUUCAUCUAAUCAGCUCUGCCCUUGUUUAUCAUCUCUAAUAAAUUCUUUGAUCUUUAAUUUGUCAAACGCUAACAUGAUGAAUCAUUCAUCUCUACCUUGAUUUGACUUUUCUUCCCCUGUUUUUUUAAAUUUUAUUUGUAAUUUUCCACUUCCCUAUCUGCUUGUUUGUUUGU